rnacentral:rRNA from 1 species
AACGAACGCUGGCGGCAUGCCUAACACAUGCAAGUCGAACGAGACCUUCGGGUCUAGUGGCGCACGGGUGCGUAACGCGUGGGAAUCUGCCCUUGGGUUCGGGAUAACAGUUGGAAACGACUGCUAAUACCGGAUGAUGUCUUCGGACCAAAGAUUUAUCGCCCAAGGAUGAGCCCGCGUAGGAUUAGCUUGUUGGUGAGGUAAGAGCUCAGCAAGGCGACGAUCCUUAGCUGGUCUGAGAGGAUGAUCAGCCACAAUGGGACUGAGACACGGCCCAGACUCCUACGGGAGGCAGCAGUGGGGAAUAUUGGACAAUGGGCGAAAGCCUGAUCCAGCAAUGCCGCGUGAGUGAUGAAGGCCUUAGGGUUGUAAAGCUCUUUUACCCGGGAUGAUAAUGACAGUACCGGGAGAAUAAGCCCCGGCUAACUCCGUGCCAGCCGCCGCGGUAA